GUGGCGAACUGGUGAGUAACACGUGGGUAACCUGCCCUUGAAGUAGGGGAUAACACUUGGAAACAGGUGCUAAUACCGUAUAACAACCAAAACCACCUGGUUUUGGUUUAAAAGAUGGCUUCGGCUAUCACUUUAGGAUGGACCCGCGGCGUAUUAGCUUGUUGGUAAGGUAACGGCCUACCAAGGCAAUGAUACGUAGCCGACCUGAGAGGGUAAUCGGCCACAUUGGGACUGAGACACGGCCCAAACUCCUACGGGAGGCAGCAGUAGGGAAUCUUCCACGAUGGACGAAAGUCUGAUGGAGCAACGCCGCGUGAGUGAUGAAGGGUUUCGGCUCGUAAAACUCUGUUGUUGGAGAAGAACAGGUGUGAGAGUAACUGUUCACAUCUUGACGGUAUCCAACCAGAAAGCCACGGCUAACUACGUGCCAGCAGCCGCGGUAAUACGUAGGUGGCAAGCGUUGUCCGGAUUUAUUGGGCGUAAAGCGAGCGCAGGCGGUUUCUUAGGUCUGAUGUGAAAGCCUUCGGCUUAACCGGAGAAGUGCAUCGGAAACCAGGAGACUUGAGUGCAGAAGAGGACAGUGGAACUCCAUGUGUAGCGGUGAAAUGCGUAGAUAUAUGGAAGAACACCAGUGGCGAAGGCGGCUGUCUGGUCUGUAACUGACGCUGAGGCUCGAAAGCAUGGGUAGCGAACAGGAUUAGAUACCCUGGUAGUCCAUGCCGUAAACGAUGAGUGCUAA
rnacentral:rRNA from 1 species